UUGGCCUCCCAAAAUGCUGGGAUUACAGGCAUGAGUCACUACACCUGGCCUUAAAAUGGCAGUUUUAAGCCACUGAUUUGGAGUAAUUUGUUAUACAGCAAUAGGUAACUAGAAUAAACACCUGUAAUCUUACAAGGAACUUUUUGGUUCUAUCUGAAUCUAAUCCAACUUCCACUUUCACUUUUCAAAGGGAUAACUGAGGCCUAGUUGCGGAAGAGACUGGCAAUCUGCCUACUAACCAGGAGUUUCUCCCACCACGCUCUCCUGACCAAGAAGGUGCCUUGGAGGAAGCAAGGCCUGUUCUGCCACAGGACAGGGUCUUGCUGUGUUACCCCGGAUGGAAUACAGUGGCACAAUCAUAGCUCACUGCAGCCUCAACUUUCUGGACUCAAUUGAUCCUCCCACCUCAGCCUCCACAGUAGCUGGGACUACAGGCGUGCACCACCAUGUCCAGCAAAUUCUUUAAUUUUUUGUAAAGACAGGGUCUCACUGUGUUGCCCAGGCUGGUCUGGAACUCCUGGACUCAAGUGAUCCUCCCACCUUGCCCUCCCGAAGUAUUUGGUUUACAGGCAUGAGCCACUCCUCCUGACCAGACACUGAUUUUUUGAAAAGAUCAAAUUAGGGGUCUUGCAGAUUAUCUCACAUUCUGGAUUUAUCUCAUUGCUUCAUCAUAGUGUCUAUUAAUUUGUUCCUUUAUCUUAUUUCCUGUAAACUGAAGUUAGGUCUGAAGGCUUGACUGUGAAUUAAACAUUUUUGGCAAGAAUA